CGCGCAGCUCCUCGAGUCAGCUCGGCCGGCAAAGUACCUAGUCCAAUUUCUGCCAGUAUAAUACUUAUUGAUAAGAUAUUUUUCCCAUUCGACCGUCGCGCCUCCGAACAGACACGACGCAUUCCGAAGAAAAAGAAACGAAAUUGUAAUAAAAUUGCACAUUAAAUCAAAUAAUAGUGAAUAAUAGUAAAGCAAAAAUACAUAUUUAAAUAGGAGACAACAAAUUUCGUCAAAUGCUGAACAACAUCCAUAAACAUUUAUACAAAACAAAAAAGUGCAACGGGUAUAAGUAACGAGCCGUCAUCGCAUUCAAGGUUAAAUUGAAAACCCCGAUAAACCUUCCACGAGAUCACGCAAAUAUCACCCGACGGAAAGCAUAAUUAUUAUUAUGACAAUGGUUGCGGCGCCGCAUCCAGCCCGCUGGGAGGACUCCGCCGCGCUACCGUGUUGAAACCAAUGAGACUACGAAACGGCGGCGGCAAAUCGUUCCAGCACUUGGAUGCGGCGAAACUGAAACUGCCACGAAAAGCGGUGGUGCGGUGACGAGGUAUUGCGAGUGAGUAGUACGACGCACGGGUCCUGGCAGCAGUCACGUCGCGGGACCAUACUAGUUUGUCCGCAAGAUAUGGCGGUAAUUUAAAUUUAACUACUCCGAACAUCAGCGUUGCAAAAUGAUACUGUCUGCGAUAUUUCAUUUUUAAGAUUUUAGCCUUGUUUAUGUAAGGUGUUACGUGUGUGCGGGGAGGUAUUUUGAAGCAGAAUCUAGCGCAAGCAUUCUGUACUCUUUGAACUAGUUUUUGUGAGCGCGCCAGCAGCCGAGGCCCAUACACAGCGUCCAUAUAAUUGAACUUAGAUAAAACUAAAGAGUCGCAUAGUUUAAUUCGAAUGGGAGUGCUUAAAUAUUCUCGAAUUUGGUACAUUACUUUUAAUCUGUAAAAACAGUUGCUAGCAGUGUUCGUAAUGUGCUUUUCAAAAAGUAACUCCUCGUCCAUUAGCAACCCUAGGUUUCGCGAUUCAGACACUCGCUGUACCACCUCGCCUCGAAUACUAAUGUUCAACCCUUGACGCGUAAUACUCUCUAUCUGUUGUCUAGAACCCAAGACCAUAUACUUCGUUUUAUUUCCGUUAAGCAUUAGGGUGUUCGCUUCUGCCCAAGCUGCUACACGUUCCAAGUCCUCUUCUAGUCGCUUUACUGCCAGACGGGUAUCACAUGGCUUACACGAAGUAUAAACCUGUAUAUCGUCGGCGUAAAUGUGAAAUUUGCAAUUUUUUAUUUCUUUCAUCACAUCGGCGCUGUAGAUGAUGAACAGAAGAGGACCCAAUAUUGACCCUUGAGGAACUCCCCUACUAACGGUUUUAGUGAUAGACCUAACUGAGGAACCGUCCUCGUUGCAUAGUUCAACAAACUGCGCUCGAUGAUCAAAAUAGCUGCUAAACCAAUUUAUGCUAUCCACGCUAAAUCCAUAAUAAUGU